CAUGGCACCAAGUAGAGGAGGAAUAGAAGGAUGGCUGGGAGGCACGGAAGAGAAAGACAAGUAGAAAAGAUGGCCGAUAUUCCAUAUCUAGAUAGAGGCAAUGUUUUUCUUCUCAAACUAAAUUGCGAAUUUUUUCAAAUUAUAAAAGAUACUUAUAAUGUUCAUUAUAGGUAACUUGAAACAGAGGGCUGGGCGCGGUGGCUCACACCUGUAAUCCCAACACUUUGGGAGGCUGAGGCGGGUGGAUCACUUGAGGCCAGGAAUUUGAAACCAGCCUGGCCAACAUAAGGAAACCCCAUCUCUACAAAAAAUACAAAAAUUAGCCUGGCAUUGUGGCGUGCACCUGUAAUCCCGCUACUCGGGAGGCUGAGGCAGGAGAACCACUUGAAGCCAGGAGGCAGAUGUUGCAGUGAACUGAGAUCAUGCCACUGCACUCCACCCUGGGCAACAGAGUGAGACUCCAUGUCAAAUAAGUAAAUAAAUAACUGGAAACAGAAGGACACAAAAAGGGGAAGGUAAUCGCCUACAUGCCCUAUGCCAAUAAAAAUAACUGACUUGUUGGCAUUUUAUGUUUUCUUCUAGUAUCUUUAUAAGCAUAUAUGUGUGUGCUUUUUAAAAAAUUGGAAUUGUAUACCAUAUACUACUUUAACUUAUAUAAUAGCAUUUUCAUCUUCGCGUCACUGCAUAUUCCUGGAAAACACUAUUUUUUAAUGGACGCUCCAAUUUUUGAGUCAUAUGGGCCUUAAGUCAUAUCACAUAGCUAGCAUUUUAGACCUCACUGGUUAAACAUGGUCAAGCUACAAACUAAAUUUAAAGCAUUUUAAAACUGUAAAUGUUACACAUAUGAUUGUAGAAAGUUUGGGGGAAAAAAGGUAUAAGGAAGAAGAUAAUCACCUAUAAUCCCACGACUCAGAGAAACUUUUUUACAUUUUGGUGUAUGCAAGAAUAGAUUUGAGACCACAGAGGUCAUACUGUUCAUGUAUACUGAUGACAUUUCUAUAUCUUGAUGUUUUUCACUUAGUAUUUAUAUCAUGAGCUAAAUUUAAUUUUAGUACUUUCUGUUGUACUUAUUGUCAAUAAUCCUUUUUAUGAUGAGAGAAUUUUUCACAGCUAGAGCCAAUGUUUCGAUGAACAUUUUGACAAGAAAGACAAAAAUGCCCCAUUUAACAAAUUUUGACAUGAAGUUGCUUUCCAGUAGGAGUUCAUAGAACUUCUCAAACCUUCCCCUAAUAACCU
rnacentral:lncRNA from 1 species